rnacentral:rRNA from 1 species
UACAGAGGUCUCAAGCGUUGUUCGGAUUCAUUGGGCGUAAAGGGUGCGUAGGUGGCGCGCUAAGUCAGGUGUGAAAUCUCGGGGCUUAACUCCGAAACUGCAUUUGAUACUGGCGUGCUUGAGGACUGGAGAGGAGACUGGAAUUUACGGUGUAGCAGUGAAAUGCGCAGAUAUCGGGAGGAACACCAGCGGCGAAGGCGGCACUCUGGGCUGGAACUGACGCUGAGGAGCGAAAGCGUGGGUAGCAAACAGGA